rnacentral:rRNA from 1 species
ACUCCUACGGGAGGCAGCAGUGGGGAAUAUUGGACAAUGGGCGCAAGCCUGAUCCAGCCAUGCCGCGUGAGUGAUGAAGGCCUUAGGGUUGUAAAGCUCUUUUAGCAGGGAAGAUAAUGACGGUACCUGCAGAAAAAGCCCCGGCUAACUUCGUGCCAGCAGCCGCGGUAAUACGGAGGGGGCUAGCGUUGCUCGGAACUACUGGGCGUAAAGCGCACGUAGGCGGCUUCUUAAGUCGGUGGUGAAAUCCUGGAGCUCAACUCCAGAACUGCCUUCGAUACUGGGAAGCUCGAGUUCGGGAGAGGUGAGUGGAACUGCGAGUGUAGAGGUGAAAUUCGUAGAUAUUCGCAAGAACACCAGUGGCGAAGGCGGCUCACUGGCCCGAUACUGACGCUGAGGYSCSMMASCSYGGGGAGCAAACAGGAUUAGAUACCCUGGUAGUCCACGCUGUAAACGAUGAAUGCUAGCCGUUGGCGAGCUUGCUCGUCAGUGGCGCAGCUAACGCUUUAAGCAUUCCGCCUKKGGRRWASGGUCGCAAGAUUAAAACUCAAAUGAAUUGACSGAAURUCUAA